AUGGAUGAGGAUAUGCACUGGGCUCCGAGCAGCGAACGUCUGCGUUCUGAUGGAGAUGCGUUUGCCUAGAAAGCAUUGUCCGACAU
rfam:Triticum aestivum genome assembly, contig: Triticum_aestivum_CS42_TGACv1_scaffold_343677_4DL